rnacentral:rRNA from 1 species
AACGAACGCUGGCGGAAGGCAGAACACAGGCAAGUCGAACGAGACCUUCGGGUCUAGUGGCGCACGGGUGCGUAACGCGUGGGAACCUGCCCUUAGGUUCGGAAUAACUCCCCGAAAGGGGUGCUAAUACCGGAUAAUGUCUUCGGACCAAAGAUUUAUCGCCUUUGGAUGGGCCCGCGUUGGAUUAGCUAGUUGGUAGGGUAAAAGCCUACCAAGGCGACGAUCCAUAGCUGGUCUGAGAGGAUGAUCAGCCACACUGGGACUGAGACACGGCCCAGACUCCUACGGGAGGCAGCAGUGGGGAAUAUUGGACAAUGGGCGAAAGCCUGAUCCAGCAAUGCCGCGUGAGUGAUGCAGGCCUUAGGGUUGUAAAGCUCUUUUACCCGGGAUGAUAAUGACAGUACCGGGAGAAUAAGCUCCGGCUACCUCCGUG